GGUACCCACCAGCAGCGACAAAACCUUGUCGGCUUGGGAGGCUAGCUCUACACCCACGACUGAGCCUUCCCAUGUAAGCAGGACCCAGCAUAAAGGAAUGGAUGGAGAAUGCCGUCUUCUUGCUACCUGUGAGGUCAGAGUCCUGCCUUAUCCACCUUGUCAGAGGCCCCACCGGACUCAGGAAAUGUGAUGAAAUAAUGAGGAUUGGAGAUGUGAAAUCAUGAAAUGUCCUUCUACCGCUUGGGUACCCAUCUUUAUUCAUUUUUGGCUCAUUCAUUGUGCAUAAAGGAGGUCGGGGAGAAUGUCGGUCUUCAAAACUAGAGGCAGCAGUGGAAGCAGGAUGCACUGAAAGCCCAAGUCAACGUGUUAUGAAAUUGUUCUACAAGUUAUUUUGGGGAAAUUGACUUACCGUACCACUCAUCAACCCAUGCGAAAGCCUGUCUGUGUCCAAUCAGCAGAAUGUCUCGGACCACCUGAAAAGUAAAAGGAGGUUGAAAUCAUACCAUGUUUGAUGAUUGAAAAAUAGGUCAUUCCCGAUUCUGGAGAUCUUCGUGGCAGUUAUGGAUUCCCCACUCCCUGUGGCUGCGUGUGAGGACGUACAC